UCUACGGGAGGCUGCAGUGGGGAAUAUUGGACAAUGGGGGCAACCCUGAUCCAGCCAUGCCGCGUGUGUGAAGAAGGCCCUCGGGUUGUAAAGCACUUUCAGUGAGGAAGAACGCCUGGUGGUUAAUACCCAUCAGGAAAGACAUCACUCACAGAAGAAGCACCGGCUAACUCCGUGCCAGCAGCCGCGGUAAUACGGAGGGUGCGAGCGUUAAUCGGAAUUACUGGGCGUAAAGCGCGCGUAGGUGGCUUGAUAAGCCGGUUGUGAAAGCCCCGGGCUCAACCUGGGAACGGCAUCCGGAACUGUCAAGCUAGAGUGCAGGAGAGGAAGGUAGAAUUCCCGGUGUAGCGGUGAAAUGCGUAGAGAUCGGGAGGAAUACCAGUGGCGAAGGCGGCCUUCUGGACUGACACUGACACUGAGGUGCGAAAGCGUGGGUAGCAAACAGGAUUAGAUACCCGUGUAGUC
rnacentral:rRNA from 1 species